rnacentral:RNase_P_RNA from 1 species
CGGGCCGGACAGCCGCGGACUCAUGCCGAAAGGCGGAGGAUGAGGAAAGUCCGGGCUCUAUAGGGCAGGGAUAACGGGUAACGCCCGCCGGGGGUGACCCCAGGACAAGUGCAACAGAGAGAUACCGCUGAGGGUUUUCCCUUCAGCAAGGGUGAAAACGUGGGGUAAGAGCCCACGCGGCCCAUGGUAACAUGGGUUCUACGAUGUAAACUCUAUCCCGGAGCAACGCCGUGGAGGGACAUAAGGCCGGCCCGGCCGUCCCGAGGAGGCGGCUUGAUCCCAGGAGCAAUUCUGGGGCUAGAUAGAUGGCUGUCAAGACAGAACCCGGCUUAUAGGCCCGC